UAGGGAAUCUUCGGCAAUGGACGAAAGUCUGACCGAGCAACGCCGCGUGAGUGAAGAAGGUUUUCGGAUCGUAAAGCUCUGUUGUAGGGGAAGAACGGGUUGUAGGCGAAUAGGCUAUAACUAUGACGGUACCCUAUUAGAAAGCCACGGCUAACUACGUGCCAGCAGCCGCGGUAAUACGUAGGUGGCAAGCGUUGUCCGGAAUUAUUGGGCGUAAAGCGCGCGCAGGCGGUUAAAUAAGUCUGAUGUGAAAGCCCCCAGCUCAACUGGGGAGGGUCAUUGGAAACUGUAUAACUUGAGUGCAGAAGAGAAGAGUGGAAUUCCACGUGUAGCGGUGAAAUGCGUAGAGAUGUGGAGGAACACCAGUGGCGAAGGCGACUCUUUGGUCUGUAACUGACGCUGAGGCGCGAAAGCGUGGGGAGCAAACAGGAUUAGAUACCCCCGUAGUCC
rnacentral:rRNA from 1 species